AGCGCAGGCGGGAAGACAAGUUGGAAGUGAAAUCCAUGGGCUCAACCCAUGAACUGCUUUCAAAACUGUUUUUCUUGAGUAGUGCAGAGGUAGGCGGAAUUCCCGGUGUAGCGGUGGAAUGCGUAGAUAUCGGGAGGAACACCAGUGGCGAAGGCGGCUUACUGGACUGCAACUGACGUUGAGGCUCGAAAGUGUGGGUAGCAAAC
rnacentral:rRNA from 1 species